rnacentral:rRNA from 1 species
UACGUAGGCAGCAAGCGUUGUUCGGAGUUACUGGGCGUAAAGGGUGUGUAGGCGGUUGGAUAAGUGUGGUGUGAAAUCUCCCGGCUCAACUGGGAGGGUGCGCCGGAAACUGGAGUGCUUGAGGGUGGGAGAGGUAAGCGGAAUUCCUGGUGUAGCGGUGAAAUGCGUAGAUAUCAGGAGGAACACCUGUGGUGUAGACAGCUUACUGGACCACUUCUGACGCUGAGACACGAAAGCGUGGGUAGCAAACAGG